UAUGUUAUGUUAAAUAUGCUCUAUAAUAGUCAGAUUUCUUUAACGCAGUGUAGUUCCUCCAGUUUGUAAUAGUGACCAUAGGUGUGUCCCAGUUCACGUAGUUAUGCACUAUUCUAUGCCGUUUUGUAGUAUAAAUAGUGUGAGUAGUGUGUUCACACUGAAAAGUACAAAAAUAAAAAGUGCACUUUAAAUGCCUGGAUGAUGCACUACAUUAACCGAAAUGUUGGACAACCGUCGCAACUUUAAUUAAGUAGCGGAGAGGGGUGAGCUAACAAACGCCGAUGUUAAAUGACAAAAUAACCUUAUAAAAUUCAUACACUACACGGUUGAGUAUAUAGUGCAUAGUGUAUAGUGCGUCAUUUGGAACACAACUCAUUUAAGAGAAACCCAUGUUAAGCUUGAGGGAAAAGCAACUGUUUGUGUCUACUGGCCAUCAGUUUAUUUUGUAAGGCUGAAGUUUCUGCUUGGGGUCAUAAUAGCCACUGGGGUUCAGGGUAUUUUCUUUCUUUCUUUCUUUUUUGACACUUUCAAGAUAAGCACACAGGCCAUCAGGAAACACACCUAUAUAGAGACACACACACACACACACACAUUAUCUGGCCCCUUGUUUAUCUCCUCAUCACCAGGGACCCAGUGCCACUCAAUAGUCUGUUGCUAGGCAACCCAAACCAUGGCUCAGAUUGGCUUCAUAAUUCAAUGGCUAUCUGGGCGAACAGGGAGGAUGCAGGGUAUAGCAGUGGUCCUCACGAGGAAUACUAAUGAUCACAAGUGUUUCUUCACCAUCUGCAGGCUGUUCUAACCCAUGCCAGAAUACUGGGUCCAGCACCAGCUUCCUGUCUCCAGACUGCUCUUCAUUGUCAAUGGAGGAGUCAUCUGUGAAUGUCUGCAGGUGGCAUGAGCAGGAAGCACACCAGGUGCUGAGCACAUCUGACUCUUCACCCCUCCCACAGAAAGAAGCUUUGACUGAAGCCUACAGGCUGACAUCUUUAUGAAGAAUCCAUUUUAACGCACCCACCACUCACACAGUGCCUCAUUUCCCCAGAGGUUCAGUCUGUGAGGAUGAACAACAACAGCAGAGUAUGUGAAGUCUCAUUCUAUGGUGAUUAAAGCAAACCUGCAGAACUGCAUACUGAAUGAUGAUGGCAUGAAUUAGUGUUUUUUUUUUUCUCUCAGGCUGGGAGAUUUACACACACUUAAAUUUCUGUCUUUUAUGGAUAUCCAAUGCCUUUUGUGCUAAAUAAUAGUUUAUAUGCACAAAUCUGGAGCAAAAAAAUGCUUGCACGCCAUAUUAAUUCUACCGUCUUAACUACAUGUGGUGUGGAAAUGGAAUUUGGUGAGGUUAAAAAUAAUCAGUGCCAAGUGACCUGAAUUCUAAAUUAUUAAUUCACAUCAUUUUGAUCCAUGGAGGAUAGGGGGACUCUAUUCACUUAUGACUGCACUUGUUUAAUCAUUUUUGUCCUGGUGUCAUUGUAGACAAUUUUAA